CUCGCCUGCCAUCUCCAAUCAGCAGCCAGCAAUAUAGGAGGCUCCCAGGACAGCUCCCACCCCAGGGCAUCCAAACUCUGUUCUGUCAACAACCUAAUCUCACAAGGGUCCCUUUUCCUUUUUCAUAGGCUCCCCCUCAGAAACCCACAACUGUGGAGUGUUCACGGACACUUCCAGUUUGGAGACAGUUUGCAGUGGUGGGGCAGUUGCCAUAGCUGGACCAUCAAUUCAGAAAGCAGAUCAGGUUAAAAUGUUCUUUAAUGAGGCACAACUCUGCAGGGACCAGUUCUGUAUCAUAGUGAGAUUAAUAUGCAUAUUAGAAUGUGUGAAUAAUCUUUGCAUACUGUAAUAACAUUCCAUAAGGCUCUAGGCAUAAGGAAACGUAUUUUACUACUGGAUCGAUAGGAAAAAAUCAGGAGUAAGGAUUCGGCUCACAAAUGGAGGAAAUAUUUAAUUCAUUGAGAAACAGGCAAAACAUGAAGGCUGUUAGUGGUCUGUUAUAGCGUUAGAAAAGGCAUCUGCAACAUUGGAGUGAUGAACACAGACCUCAUCACAACUCCACAACAAGAAAAGCUACUCUUCCAGACCAAGAAGGGGAGAAGGUAAUGAACUCAGCAACAAUCUGCAGAACAACCUUGCCUGCAGGGGCAGAAGAGCGAUGCCAGUGUCUUCAGAAGACUCCUCGGGGGUGGGGGUCCCCGGCAGGCUCUGAGUCACCGGCUACAUUUCUCACUCACGUGCACUUACAGUGAUGUGACCUAACAGAUGACUUCUUGCUGCAGGCGGCCAUCGGGGCAGGCAAAGACUCUCAGUGCAGAGCUGGCGGCCCUCGGGUUUCCCCCGCACCCAGACCUCGCCACUGAGGAAGGGCACACAGAGCCUGAAGUGCGCCUCAGCACCUCUCCUCUUCCCAACCAGCUGAGGAAUGUGCUCUGAGCUGCUCUGAGGAAUGAGGAUCCAGAGACCCGGGAAGCCAGGGAGCCCCGGAAUGACUUCACCGGCGGCCACUGAGGAGAUGCGGAGCUGUGGGUUCACAGUCACAAAAGCUUAAAUUCUUGAGACAGAGAGAACCCUGGAGAGGA